UACGAGGGGUGCAAGCGUUAUUCGGAGUUACUGGGCGUAAAGAGCGCGUAGGCGGCUUGCUAAGUUGAUUGUCAAAUUCCUUGGCUUAACUGAGGAUAGGCGGUCAAAACUGACGAGCUAGAGAGUAAGAGAGAAAGGUGGAAUUCUCGGAGUAGCGGUAAAAUGCGUAGAUCUCGAGAGGAAUAUCGGUUGCGAAGGCGGCCUUUUGGCUUAUUUCUGACGCUAAAGCGCGAAAGCGUGGGGAGCAAACAGG
rnacentral:rRNA from 1 species